CAAACGUGAUGGUUUAGAGGAAGUAAAAGUCGUAACAAGGUUUCCGUAGGUGAACCUGCGGAAGGAUCAUUACCGAGUGAGGGCGCUCCGGCGCCCGCUGACCUCACCAUCCAUUGCCAUCGUAACACGUACGAGCGGGCUCGCGACGGCCGUGAGGCCAGAGCGACCCGCCACAGACCAGUCGCCGUGGGCUCGCGAGAGCGACCCACCCCCCGACGCAGCGAGCCCAUCGCCGGGCGUUUCGGCGGUGGGAGUGAGCUGUGUCGGGGCGAAGCGUCCGGAAACGCCCCGGCGUGACUGCGUGCACGCCCCCCUGGUGCGAUGGCGCCUGUGGGGGCUCCUACCAAUCCAGUCGUCAGCAACGUCUGAGUCCUCAAGGGCUAAAUUUUGAAAACAACUUUCAACAGUGGAUCUCUUGGCAUUGGCAUCGAUGAAGAACGCAGCAAACCGCGAUAUGUGGUGUCAUUUGCAACGCUUGUCAUCGAAUCUUUGAACGCACAUUGCGCCCUCCGGUACUCCGUUGGGCACGCCCGUCUCAGCGUCAUUACACCCCUCAAGCUCCCGCUUGGUCUUGGGCGUGGUCCUCCCCGGACCCGCCUCGAAUCCGCGGGCGGGUCGCAUCAACCCCCCGGCGUUGCAGAGCCUCUCGAGCCUCGCCGCGGCGGUAGUUGCGUCCCAGCCCCACAACCGCCCCUCGUGGGCAGCGCCUCGCGGCGUACCAAGUUUGACCUGAGAUCGGGCGGGUAUACGCGCCGAACUUAAGCAUAUUACUCAGCGCAGGAAAAGAAAGCAACAGCGAUUGGGUCAGUAGCGGCGAGCGAAGCCCCAAGAGUCCGGUUUUGAAAGCUCCUUCGGGCGCGUUGUA
rnacentral:rRNA from 1 species